rnacentral:rRNA from 1 species
GAUGAACGCUGGCGGCGUGCCUAAUACAUGCAAGUCGAGCGAACAGAUGAGGAGCUUGCUCCUCUGACGUUAGCGGCGGACGGGUGAGUAACACGUGGAUAACCUACCUAUAAGACUGGGAUAACUUCGGGAAACCGGAGCUAAUACCGGAUAAUAUAUUGUACCGCAUGGUUCAAUAGUGAAAGACGGUUUUGCUGUCACUUAUAGAUGGAUCCGCGCCGCAUUAGCUAGUUGGUAAGGUAACGGCUUACCAAGGCAACGAUGCGUAGCCGACCUGAGAGGGUGAUCGGCCACACUGGAACUGAGACACGGUCCAGACUCCUACGGGAGGCAGCAGUAGGGAAUCUUCCGCAAUGGGCGAAAGCCUGACGGAGCAACGCCGCGUGAGUGAUGAAGGUCUUCGGAUCGUAAAACUCUGUUAUUAGGGAAGAACAAAUGUGUAAGUAACUAUGCACGUCUUGACGGUACCUAAUCAGAAAGCCACGGCUAACUACGGG